GACGAACGCUGGCGGCGUGCUUAACACAUGCAAGUCGAACGGAAAGGCCCUGCUUUUGUGGGGUGCUCGAGUGGCGAACGGGUGAGUAACACGUGAGUAACCUGCCCUUGACUUUGGGAUAACUUCAGGAAACUGGGGCUAAUACCGGAUAGGAGCUCCUGCUGCAUGGUGGGGGUUGGAAAGUUUCGGCGGUUGGGGAUGGACUCGCGGCUUAUCAGCUUGUUGGUGGGGUAGUGGCUUACCAAGGAUUUGACGGGUAGCCGGCCUGAGAGGGUGAGCAGCCACAUUGGGAGUGAGAUACGUGCCAGAAGGCUACGGGAGGCAGCAGUGGUGAAGAAUGCACACUGGGCUGAAGGCUGAUGCAGUAUCGCCGCGUGCGGGAUGACGGCCUUAGGGUGAUAAACCGCUGUCGCCUGUAACGAUACGUGAGAGCCGGUCAUGGAUUAAGAAGCACCGCCUAACUAUGUC
rnacentral:rRNA from 1 species